UCACUUGCAACCCCUUUUGAGCUUAAUAAUUCUUUUGAAAUUCACUUAUAAAUUUGCCUAGAAUUGAGCCGUCCCGGUCAAAACUGAACUUAAGGGCAAAAGGAAGGGAGAAAAGUGUAAUGGAUCCUAUAGGCAGGACUAGUGCAAAGAAAGUACAAAAUGGGAAAUUUCAAUCCCAAAACAGAGAAAAGUCCAGAAAAAGAAAAAAAAUAUAUAAUAAAAAGAAAAGAAAAAAAAAGAAGGAAGAAUAAAGGGAAGAAUGUGCUCAGGCCCGUAAGAAUAGGCAAUGAUCAAAAGGAUGUGGAAAGUCAGUUGCCCAGAAUGAAGUUCAGCAUGACCUUAGCCUCGUACCCAAAAUCCUCACCUUAUGCCUUAAGCCACAUUACAACCCAUGAAAGACCUGAUGAGAUGUACCUAGGACUAUGACUAAAGGGGAAGAUAUUAGAAGAUAGGCAAGCUUAUGG
rnacentral:lncRNA from 1 species